AUACGGAGGAUCCGAGCGUUAUCCGGAUUUAUUGGGUUUAAAGGGAGCGUAGGUGGAUUGUUAAGUCAGUUGUGAAAGUUUGCGGCUCAACCGUAAAAUUGCAGUUGAAACUGGCAGUCUUGAGUACAGUAGAGGUGGGCGGAAUUCGUGGUGUAGCGGUGAAAUGCUUAGAUAUCACGAAGAACUCCGAUCGCGAAGGCAGCUCACCGGGCCGGAACUGACACUGAUGCUCGAAAGUGCGGGUAUCAAACAGGAUUAGAUACCCUGGUAGUCCGCACAGUAAACGAUGAAUACUCGCUGUUUGCGAUACACUGUAAGCGGCCAAGCGAAAGCGUUAAGUAUUCCACCUGGGGAGUACGCCGGCAACGGUGAAACUCAAAUGAAUUGACGGGG
rnacentral:rRNA from 1 species